AUCAUGAAUUAUUUCCGAAGAAUCAAAUAUGAAAUUAGCAAAUAGAUUUAUAGUUUUUGCAAAGUUAUAAUAGUGUAUAGUUACUCAACAUUAAAACUAUUUGUAUGAAUAUCAUGAUAAAACCCCGGUGACUCAACAUCAAAUCUAGCUGUAUGAACAUCAUGAUGAAGCCCUCGUGACUCAACAUUAAAACUAGUUGUAUGAAUAUCAUGAUAAAACCCUGGUGACUCAACAUCAAAUCUAGCUGUAUGAACAUCAUGAUGAAGCCCUCGUGACUCAACAUUAAAACUAGUUGUAUGAAUAUCAUGAUGAAACUCUAGUGACUCGACAACAAAACUAUUUGUAUGAACAUCAUGAUGAAACUCUCGUGACUUAACAUCAAAACUAGCUGUAUGAACUUCAUGAUGAAACUAGUGACACAAUAUCGAAACUAGUUGCGUAAACACUAGACCUGAGUUUCGUCAUGAUGUUCAUACAGCUAGUUUUGAUAUUGUGUUACUAGUUUCGUCAUGAUGUUCAUACAGCUAGUUUUGAUGAUUGUUACCGAAUCUAGUAGGCUCAAAUAUCUAAUAAAUAUUUUAUUUUUCAUUGUACCAAAAAACGUCGUUCUUGUUUCUGACUCUUAAUAAGCUUAAUGAGUUAUAAAAAAUAUUCAAGUUUUACGAAUGUCGUAUGCAGAACAUCCUCAUUGAGUCUAUAGAGUUUUUAUAAGUCUAUUCAGUUAUUGUGUGCGGGACAUUUUUAUUAAGUCUAAUGAUUGUUCCAAUAACUCUAUUCAACUGUUCCAAAUACUGUGUGCAGGACCUUUUAAUUAAAGCUAAUGAGGUCUUUGAAAAGUCAAUUCAACUAUCACUUAUGCUAUGAUUUUUACAAUUUUGUCACACAGCUUUAUUCAAACAUAUAAAAAAAACUAUGGGCAGGACAACUUCUUUAAGUCGGAUCAGUUUUACUACGUGUAUUAGGCUUGUGUAUAUAUAUAAAUGUAUUAUAUUUACUACCAACAAAGUUUUUGUUUUUUCUAAUACGCGAUCCAUGGUCUCAUAAGACCAUAAACAAGCAAUCACAUGGCUCAAGUAUACAUAAAUCUGUAGAUAUUCACGUGGCUCGAAUAUACAUGAAGCCACGGAUAGUCACAUGGAUCGAGUAUCCACCAACCAAUGGUAGGAGAGAAAAUAAAAGCUGUGUAAAUUCAGUACAUGUGAUAGAUGAUUUCUUUACUUAAUUAAAAAUCACGUAAUAGUGAACUAACGCUGUAUGUUUAUCAUGUUUUAAGUUGGGAAAAUUCGUAAUACUUUUAUAAUAACCAAUUUGUGGCAGCCAAUAAUAUGUUAUUCACGAACGAUAAAAUUACCGAAUACCCAACUUCAGGACAGCUUGGUGUUAUAAUACUCACUCCGUUUGGACGUUCAAGUAAUUUGGUUUUCACCUCUAAUCGGCAGGUGCGUGUGACGUCAUAGAUGUGACGCUCUUAUAGUUUAUUACGCAACAAAGACUUGUUUCUCGACAGAUUAACUAAGCCGAAAAUUGAUAUUUGUAUCGCAUUUUCUAAGAUGAUUACGCAAAGGCAACUUAUUAUUAUGCUGUUUAAAUAAUAAUUUAGGUGGGGCGAAGAACUACUUUUAUAUAAGCGCAACGCCUUACAGCGCGGAGCGAUAUAUUUGUAUUUACUGAGAGCGUGCCGCGCGGUGAGUGUUGCCUUUCACGUCCGAUUUAGGGAGCAUGUCAACGGCUCUCUGGACCACGAUGCUUGGCGGCAGCAUGGAGGCUAGAAUUUAGUUUUCAACCUAAACUUUCUACCGACACCCAUGACAACUUAACGCUACAAAAUAGGACUCCCUUCUGAGUAACGACGUGUUACGUCAUAGCGUCUGGGCUGGGUAGAGCAGGAAUUAUGUAAGCAGACGGUCGUGAACAAAAACUCAAAACCCGUCGUCCAAACAGCCAGCCUCGUUUUAUGUCCCGGACCGUUUUGUUCAUUCGCUUUUCUUUACACCUGGAAUGUACGUGUAUUAUUACAGAAGGCUGUUGUAUACGUUGUAGUAUGUCACAGAUUGCGUUUAAACAUGAUCAGAAUCUAAGGGAAAUUAAAUGUUGAGUUUGAUACAGUUUGGUAAAAAGAACAAGCUUUAUAUGAAAACCUGUUUAGCACAGUUGUUAUAGUCUAUGAUGUAAAAAAAAACGACAACUGUGUGAACUUCGUAAUCGUAAUAUUUACUGUUGAUUGUUGAUAAUUAUUUCUCAGACUGGACAUUUUGUAAAUGGAAAACGUCGAAUGUACAGUUAAACGUAAUAAUGGGCCUGUUUCAAGCCUGUAUGCCUGAAAGAUAGAAAAAUAAAGUAUAAGAAUGCUGUAA